UACAGAGGUGCCAAGCGUUGUGCGGAAUCACUGGGCUUAAAGCGCGUGUAGGCGGGUCGUUAAGUGUCCGGGGGAAAUCCCACGGCUCAACCGUGGAACUGCCGGGCAUACUGGCGAUCUUGAGGCAUUCAGGGGCGAGCGGAACAAAUGGUGGAGCGGUGAAAUGCGUAGAUAUCAUGUGGAACGCCAAUGGUGAAAACAGCUCGCUGGGAAUGAUCUGACGCUGAGACGCGAAAGCCAGGGGAGCGAACGGG
rnacentral:rRNA from 1 species